CCUACGGGAGGCAGCAGUAGGGAAUCUUCCGCAAUGGACGAAAGUCUGACGGAGCAACGCCGCGUGAACGAUGAAGGCCUUCGGGUCGUAAAGUUCUGUUGUUAGGGAAGAACAAGUGCUAGUUGAAUAAGCUGGCACCUUGACGGUACCUAACCAGAAAGCCACGGCUAACUACGUGCCAGCAGCCGCGGUAAUACGUAGGUGGCAAGCGUUGUCCGGAAUUAUUGGGCGUAAAGCGCGCGCAGGCGGUUUCUUAAGUCUGAUGUGAAAGCCCCCGGCUCAACCGGGGAGGGUCAUUGGAAACUGGGAAACUUGAGUGCAGAAGAGGAAAGUGGAAUUCCAAGUGUAGCGGUGAAAUGCGUAGAGAUUUGGAGGAACACCAGUGGCGAAGGCGACUUUCUGGUCUGUAACUGACGCUGAGGCGCGAAAGCGUGGGGAGCAAACAGGAUUAGAUACCCUGGUAGUCCACGCUGUAAACGAUGAGUGCUAAGUGUUAGAGGGUUUCCGCCCUUUAGUGCUGAAGUUAACGCAUUAAGCACUCCGCCUGGGGAUACGGUCGCAAGACUGAAACUCAAAGGAUUGACGG
rnacentral:rRNA from 1 species